rnacentral:lncRNA from 1 species
AGGGUUUCACAUUAUUUUUAUUAAUUUGAUAUAAAUUUCUCUUCAUUUUGGACAUGGAGAAUAAAUUAAUAAACGACUAAUUCAACAAAUAGAUUUUUUAGAUUUUUUUACCAACAUUAAAUAUUUAUUAGUUUAUAAUUUAUUGAUAGAAAUAAUAAUAAAAAAAAAAUGCUCAACAAGACAUUGUAUAGUUAGGAUCAUGAUUAUCUCGUAUAACAUUUUGUUUAUGAAUCUUUUUAAUCAAUUCAUAGAAAUUCAAGUAAAUUUAAACAAUCACAAGGAAUUUUUGAAAGAUAAGAUUCAAAUGUAAAUUUUUGAUAAAUAGUGCCCUCACUUUAACUGGAAUCUCAACCUGUGUCACAAAAAAGAUUCUAGGUAUAAAAACUAUAAAAAAUAAAAAAUAAAUAAACAAAAAUAAUAUUUUAUAUUAAUUUUUUUAAUUUAUAUUUUAUUAUUUUUCAAAUAAUAUUAAUUAGGUGCUCUCAACCAUUAUGGAAUUUAAUGUUAUCUUAAUAAAAUAAUAAUGAAUAAUAAAUAA